rnacentral:rRNA from 1 species
GACGAACGCUGGCGGCGGGCUUAACACAUGCAAGUCGAACGAGAAAGGUUCUUCGGAACCGAGUAAAGUGGCGCACGGGUGAGUAACGCGUGGGUAAUCUACCUUUUGGAUGGGGGAUAACCAAGGGAAACUUUGGCUAAUACCGAGUAAGCUUAUUGACUCGUAAAGUUUCGAUAAGGAAAGAUGGUGCAAGCUAUCGCCGAAAGAUGAGCCUGCGUCCCAUUAGCUUGUUGGUGGGGUAAAAGCCUACCAAGGCUACGAUGGGUAACUGGUCUGAGAGGAUGAUCAGUCACACUGGAACUGAAACACGGUCCAG